rnacentral:rRNA from 1 species
GAUGAACGCUGGCGGCGUGCUUAACACAUGCAAGUCGAACGGGAUCCAUCAAGCUUGCUUGGUGGUGAGAGUGGCGAACGGGUGAGUAAUGCGUGACCGACCUGCCCCAUACACCGGAAUAGCUCCUGGAAACGGGUGGUAAUGCCGGAUGUUCCAGUUGAUCGCAUGGUCUUCUGGGAAAGCUUUCGCGGUAUGGGAUGGGGUCGCGUCCUAUCAGCUUGACGGCGGGGUAACGGCCCACCGUGGCUUCGACGGGUAGCCGGCCUGAGAGGGAGACGGGCCACAUUGGGACUGAGAUACGGCCCAGACUCCUACGGGAGGCAGCAGUGGGGAAUAUUGCACAAUGGGCGCAAGCCUGAUGCAGCGACGCCGCGUGAGGGAUGGAGGCCUUCGGGUUGUAAACCUCUUUUAUCGGGGAGCAAGCGUGAGUGAGUUUACCCGUUGGAUAAGCACCGGCUAACUACGUGCCAGCCGCCGCAGUAA